CCAUUUGGUGGCUGCAGUAUCCUCAACGCUAACUUCCUCACUGGAGAGUUGCCAGUCGAUCUCACUUAUCUCACAAACUUAACUGAACUUAGGAUUAGCAGCAACAACUUCACUGGAAGAAUACCUGAUUUUUUUAAUAGUUGGAAAAAGCUUCAGAAAUUAGAGAUCCAAGCUAGCGGUCUCACGGGG